CUGUCUUCAGGUAAAUGAUCUGGAGUGUGUUUGCAUAUUGAUCAGAUGCUUCAGUGCUCUGAGAGUGUUUAUAGUGCUGUGAGUUUAACACUUCAUCACUGAGAGCUUUUCUCCAUUUUAACUGAAAGAACAACCAGCAAGAAGAUGAUGAUCAUCAACAUCUGUAUCUGGACACUCAUUCUUUCUGUUCAAGAAACUGCAGGACAAAUUUCUGUGACUCAGACUCCCUCAGCAGCAGCUGCUCAACCAGGAGAAACAGUUACUAUAAACUGUCAGACUAGCAGAGGAAUUGGAGAUCGUUCAUGGGGUUGUGGCUCCUGUCUCGCCUGGUAUCUGCAGAAACCUGGAGAAGCUCCUAAACUCCUCAUUUAUUACAUUAAUUCACGGCAGUCUGGAACUCCAUCUAGAUUCAGUGGCAAUGGAGCAGAUUAUGGAACAGAUUUCACUCUGACCAUCAGUGGAGUCCAGACUGAAGAUGCUGGACAUUAUUACUGUCAGAGUGUACACUGGAUCAGUAGUAGCUGGGUGUUCACACAGUGAUAAAGAGUCGUACAAAAACCUCGGUCAGUCAGAGUCACAGAGACUGAACUGAUCCUGCAGCUGCUCAAACACUAUCACUCACUACUGACACACAGAGACAAACACAGCAACUACACAUGAGCUCAGAACCGAGUUAGGAGUCAAAUCAGCUCCAUUAGACUGUGAUCUGUCCUGUGACAGACGGGUUUGACUCAGCUAUGCUCAGAAUCAGAGAAAACAGAGUGUGUAAAGUGAUAUCAAAGCAAACAACCAAUAAUGGCACCACAUGUUGUGUUAAUUUUGUACAUUGUAACACACUCAUAUCUCAUUUUGA